CACGUAGGUCCCGAGCGUUGUCCGGAUUUAUUGGGCGUAAAGCGAGCGCAGGUGGUUUAUUAAGUCUGGUGUAAAUGGCAGUGGCUCAACCAUUGUAUGCAUUGGAAACUGGUAGACUUGAGUGCAGGAGAGGAGAGUGGAAUUCCAUGUGUAGCGGUGAAAUGCGUGGAUAUAUGGAGGAACACCGGUGGCGAAAGCGGCUCUCUGGCCUGUAACUGACACUGAGGCUCGAAAGCGUGGGGAGCAAACAGG
rnacentral:rRNA from 1 species